CGGAAGUGGUCAUCAGGAAGUGUGGAGCCAAACUGAGUACGGUGCAUAGACUGUACAUACAUUUUUUUUUCGUUAGUUUUCAUGGUCAAAAUGAGAGAUCAAGUGGCCGAUCUUAAAAAUAAAUCAAUAUUAAUUUUUUUAUAGAGCGUUAAAGUUUUGCGAAGCCAGGGGGCGGGACUACUUGAUUGACUGUCCGGUCUGGAAUGAUUGACAGGUCCUAUGGAGGAGACAGCUGAGACUCUGCUCUCCUCGUUUGGAUUAAUUCUGAUAUAAUAACUGUUGGUUUAUUUAUCGGUGGAGCAGCAGAACAUUUUCCACAGACAGUUUUCCUGCCCGUUGGCUUGUUUUAACCAGUUUUCUACCUUCGGCUGAUUCUACCAGCAGACACUGAAAGGACUCUGAUAGUUCGAGUGAAGGUAGCAGUUCCUCCUGAAGGUCAGAGAUUGCAGCAUCUGAGGGCCUCUUCAAAAGAAGACGUAGUUGAUGAAGGCGUUCUGGAGCAGAACCAGAAAGACCACGACCAAGCAGCCUUGAGAUCUUAGGCAGCGUCUCCCUCAGGUCCCUCUCUAUCUCCCCACACAUCCACCAACCACUGGAACACAUCUCCAAAGUUCUGCCGGGCCAGCUCAGCUUCCCCUCAGAAGAAGUGCUGCCACCUGCCAGAUGAAGGAGCCUUUUGAGAGGCAGCUGGCAUCGUGAUUGGACUGUACUUUGGUCUGUUCCAAUCCAGCUUCAGCUCCAGAGACGGCAGGCGGGACGAGUCAACGGAGGCCGAGUGGACGAAGGCAUGCAGCUGAGUACAAUCCAGAAAACAACAGAGAAGGAGUGCAGUGGCCCAGGACCAGAACAAACAGAGUAGCAUCAUAUGUCUCUUAGAAAACAUCAUCGUAUAGCCUUUGGUAUGAAAAAACACCAUCAUAUACAUCGUAUAUUGUACAAAUAACAAGUCAAAGGAAAGAGACAUACAUUGUAGAAUUGUAGUAAUUGUGGGCUGACUGAUUUACUGAUUAUCAGUAUUUUUUACUGAUUUACGGUAAUAAAUACAUUUAAAAAUGGCGCUACUUUGGCUCUGAACCUUGAUCUACCUGUGGUCGCUCUGUCUUCUGGAGUGAUUUGAUUGGUUAUGCAUCACGAAUAAAACUCCUUUAACUUAACAUCUGUAAACAAAAAAACAUAUCAACAAAGUUUUCUGUUAGAGUUUGUGUUCUUCUCAGUUUAACUCCAAGAUUUUAAAUACUUUCAUUUACUGCAAAUGAAUAUCGACUCCAAAUGUCUCAGUAAUAAUCAUUAUCAGCCUUAAAAACCCACAAAACACCCCUCUAUACUCGACCACACUUAGUACAGUCUGGUUCCCCCUUCUAUAAAUCUGCUUGGAAUCUUCCACUUCCUGUUUGUCAAAGUGGCCUUCUACCUGGACAGGUUUUGUUGGAGCUCAUGCAACAAACAUUUUGGGUAACUGCACUUUAAUAUGGAU
ensembl:lncRNA